UGGGGAAUAUUGGACAAUGGGCGAAAGCCUGAUCCAGCCAUGCCGCGUGUGUGAAGAAGGUCUUCGGAUUGUAAAGCACUUUAAGUUGGGAGGAAGGGCAUUAACCUAAUACGUUAGUGUUUUGACGUUACCGACAGAAUAAGCACCGGCUAACUCUGUGCCAGCAGCCGCGGUAAUACAGAGGGUGCAAGCGUUAAUCGGAAUUACUGGGCGUAAAGCGCGCGUAGGUGGUUUGUUAAGUUGGAUGUGAAAUCCCCGGGCUCAACCUGGGAACUGCAUUCAAAACUGACUGACUAGAGUAUGGUAGAGAGUGGUGGAAUUUCCUGUGUAGCGGUGAAAUGCGUAGAUAUAG
rnacentral:rRNA from 1 species